rnacentral:rRNA from 1 species
GGGAUUGGUUGUAGCAAUACGGCCAUGAGAGUGGCGCACGGGUGCGUAACACGUAUGCAACUUACCUGUAACUGGGGAAUAGCCUCCCGAAAGGGAGAUUAAUACCGCAUAACAUCAUAGGGUGGCAUCAUUUUAUGAUCAAACAUUUAUGGGUUACAGAUGGGCAUGCGUCCGAUUAGCUAGUUGGUGAGGUAACGGCUCACCAAGGCUCCGAUCGGUAGGGGGUCUGAGAGGAUGAUCCCCCACACUGGUACUGAGACACGGACCAGACUCCUACGGGAGGCAGCAGUAAGGAAUAUUGGACAAUGGGCGCAAGCCUGAUCCAGCCAUGCCGCGUGAAGGAUGAAGGCCCUAUGGGUCGUAAACUUCUUUUAUACGGGAAAAAACCCCCGAUUGCGAUCGGGGUUGAUGGUACUGUAAGAAUAAGGGUCGGCUAACUUCGUGCCAGCAGCCGCGGUAAUACGAAGGACCCGAGCGUUAUCCGGAUUUAUUGGGUUUAAAGGGUGCGUAGGCGGAUUGGUAAGUCAGUGGUGAAAGCCCACCGCUUAACGGUGGAACUGCCAUUGAUACUGCCAGUCUUGAGUAUGGUUGAGGUGGGCGGAAUGUGUCAUGUAGCGGUG